AAGGCAGAACAACAUGACUGAAGGCGAUGAGGAACAGCUGAUCACCUGUGGAAGUCAUUUGUCCUAAAUUGUCAUGGACAGACCAUGUGCCUUACAGCAAGAAAAUUCUGUGAAUAAACAGGAAGCCAGCCAGCCAGGGAAGAUGCUUUUGUGAUAUAUCCCAGCAUGCUGAUGACCCCAAGGAGGACCACUGGAUACCUAGCAAGGAGCUGGCUGCAGCAUACCAUGAAUCCUCACAGCAACUUAAUGAGCUCGUAUUAGCCUUCCUGAGAGGAGGUGUCUACAGGGAGAGAAAGGAAAAAGAAGAACUGAUUGAAGAGUGGCAACCAGAACCUCUUGUUCCUCCUGUCCCAAAAGACCAUCCUGCUCUCAACUACAACAUCGUUUCAGGAAACAUCUGCGUGAGAAGGGCCCCUCUCAUAAAAUGAAAACAAAGGACAGAAAGCAUUGCUGAGGGCUUAAGGUGUGGAUGAAAUGACACAUUGAAGCUGAAGAAUCCCCAUGUUGACAGCAUUCAAUCCAAGAAAAGCUCCACUGUACACAUGUUCUAACAUAUG
rnacentral:lncRNA from 1 species